rnacentral:Y_RNA from 1 species
GGCUAUUCUGAGUGCAGUGGUGUUUACAGAUUGCCCUUUCCACUUCCAUUGCUUCACUUGACUAGCUUUAU